UUUAUGUCCAGUCUAAUUCUGCGUCAUGACACUGGAUAUUGAUGCAGACUCGCUUUUGGACGAUAGUAAUUAAUCAACUCUUUUAUUAUCCUUGUGCUGGAUGCUAACCUCAUCUGUGCACACGAGAAACGUAAAAGAACAAAU